UGGGGAAUAUUGGACAAUGGGGGCAACCCUGAUCCAGCAAUGCCGCGUGUGUGAAGAAGGUUUUCGGAUUGUAAAGCACUUUCGACGGGGACGAUGAUGACGGUACCCGUAGAAGAAGCCCCGGCUAACUUCGUGCCAGCAGCCGCGGUAAUACGAAGGGGGCUAGCGUUGCUCGGAAUGACUGGGCGUAAAGGGCGUGUAGGCGGUUUGUACAGUCAGAUGUGAAAUCCCCGGGCUUAACCUGGGAGCUGCAUUUGAUACGUGCAGACUAGAGUGUGAGAGAGGGUUGUGGAAUUCCCAGUGUAGAGGUGAAAUUCGUAGAUAUUGGGAAGAACACCGGUGGCGAAGGCGGCAACCUGGCUCAUAACUGACGCUGAGGCGCGAAAGCGUGGGGAGCAAACAGGAUUAGAUACCCUGGUAGUCCACGCUGUAAACGAUGUGUGCUAGAUGUUGGGUAACUUAGUUAUUCAGUGUCGCAGUUAACGCGUUAAGCACACCGCCUGGGGAGUACGGCCGCAAGGUUGAAAACUCU
rnacentral:rRNA from 1 species